GACGAACGCUGGCGGCGUGCCUAAUACAUGCAAGUCGAGCGAAGUUUUUCUGGUGCUUGCACUAGAAAAACUUAGCGGCGAACGGGUGAGUAACACGUAAAGAACCUGCCUCAUAGACUGGGACAACUAUUGGAAACGAUAGCUAAUACCGGAUAACAGCAUUAACUGCAUGGUUGAUGUUUAAAAGUUGGUUUUGCUAACACUAUGAGAUGGCUUUGCGGUGCAUUAGCUAGUUGGUGGGGUAAAGGCCUACCAAGGCGACGAUGCAUAGCCGACCUGAGAGGGUGAUCGGCCACACUGGGACUGAGACACGGCCCAGACUCCUACGGGAGGCAGCAGUAGGGAAUCUUCCGCAAUGGGCGAAAGCCUGACGGAGCAACGCCGCGUGAGUGAAGAAGGAUUUCGGUUCGUAAAGCUCUGUUGUUAGGGAAGAAUGAUUGUGUAGUAACUAUACACAGUAGAGACGGUACCUAACCAGAAAGCCACGGCUAGCUACGUG
rnacentral:rRNA from 1 species